rnacentral:misc_RNA from 1 species
GAUGAAGAACGUAGCGAAAUGCGAUAAGUAAUGUGAAUUGCAGAAUUCAGUGAAUCAUCGAAUCUUUGAACGCACAUUGCGCCCGGCAGUACUCUGCCGGGCAUGCCUGUUCGAGCGUCAUUUCAACCCUCAAGCCCUGCUUGGUGUUGGGGUCCCACGGCCGCCGUGGGCCCUGAAAGGAAGUGGCGGGCUCGCUACAACUCCGAGCGUAGUAAUUCAUUAUCUCGCUUAGGGCGUUGGGCGGCGCUCCUGCCGUUAAAGAACCAUCUUUAACUCAAGGUUGACCUCGUAUCAGGUAGGAAUACCCGCUGAACUUAAGCAUAUCAAUAAGCGGAGGA